CAACCCUCAAGCCCCCCGGGCUUGGUGUUGGGGAUCGGCGAUAGUCGCCGUCCCCCAAAUCUAGUGGCGGUCUCGCUGUAGCCUCCAUUGCGUAGUAGCUAACACCUCGCAACUGGAACGCGGCGCGGCCAAGCCGUUAAACCCCCCAACUUCUGAA
rnacentral:misc_RNA from 1 species